rnacentral:rRNA from 1 species
GACGAACGCUGGCGGCGUGCUUAACACAUGCAAGUCGAACGGAGAAGCCCUGCUUGUGGGGGGGGCUCGAGUGGCGAAGGGGUGAGUAACGCGUGAGUAACCUGCCCUUGACUUUGGUAUAACUGGAGGAAACGGGGGCAAAUACCGGAUAGGAGCUCCUGCUGCAGGGUGGGGGUGGGAAAGUUUCGGCGGUUGGGGAUGGACUCGCGGCUUAUCAGCUUGUUGGUGGGGUAGUGGCUUACCAAGGCUUUGACGGGUAGCCGGCCUGAGAGGGUGACCGGCCACAUUGGGACUGAGAUACGGCCCAGACUCCUACGGGAGGCAGCAGUGGGGAAUAUUGCACAAUGGGCGGAAGCCUGAUGCAGCAACGCCGCGUGCGGGAUGACGGCCUUCGGGUUGUAAACCGCUUUCGCUUGUGACGAAGCGUGAGUGACGGUACUGGGUAAAGAAGCACCGGCUAACUACGUG